UACUCGACCAGUUAUUCAUUGC
rnacentral:siRNA from 1 species